rnacentral:tRNA from 1 species
GGAGGUGUAGCUCAAUGGUAGAGCAUGUGCUUAGCAUAUGUAAGACCCUGGGUUCCAUCUCCA